UACACACACACUGAGAAAAUCCAAUACUAAGAAUUAAAAAUCCGAAGUUUUAGGUGUAUAACAAAAACGGCGCCGUCCAAGCUUUGAGGGUCCGCGCACUAACCCGCUGGGCUACCCAGAUCCACGCCCUGUCCUCUGAAAUGGUCAAUUUGCGCGUGAGGUACUUCAAUCGCGUCCUGUUUGCUACUUUGUUUUUUUUUUUUUAAUUUGACCUUCCAAUUUGUGCGUUUUUUCACUUUGAUCCACGGUUUAGUGCAGCAUUAGGGGUUCGGGAUAUUUGUAAUUUCAGUCCCCACAUGUUUGUGCGCUUAGCACAUUGAUCCUAUUUUGCCAUUAUUUUAUUUGUAAAUCGGUUCUCCUGUUUUAACCUUGCUUCAAUUAAGUCUUAUCCACAUUUUUAUUUACUGCACAUAAAUUUUUUUCCUACAUGCUAGAUUAUUAAUUGUGAUAUUUUGUUGCUUUGAUAAUUAAAUUUCGUUUUGAAAAGCA